UAUAUAGACAUACAGUGUGAAGAUAACAACAUUACCUGAAUUACCUAAGUGCAGUGUGGGAAGGCAGGGCCAUUUGGUAGAAGGAGAGGAGACUAUUAUAUACUCAACUCAGAUCAUCUCAGGAUCUUAACUAACCUUUAUCACGUCACUCCUAAGAUCUUUAACCAGUUGUCCCAAAUACAGUAUUUCUCUCGAUUGACACAAAAAUUAGAG